AGCUUGAGGAGAUAAAUUAAUCUCAAGUUAAAUCUGCCCAAUGUAUAAUAAAUGAAUGGCCGCGGUACUUUGACCGUGCUAAGGUAGCAUAAUCAAUUGGCUUUUAAAUGAGGUCAGGAAUGAAUGGGAACACGGGGUUAAGCUGUCUUAACAGUUAUUUUAUUGAAGUUACUAUGUAGGUGAAAAAGCCUAUGAAAAGAAAAAGGACGAGAAGACCCUUAGAGUUUAACUUAAUUUUUAAAUACUUUUAAAAUCAGUUUAGUUGGGGCAACUUAGAAGCAAACAAUAACCUUCUAAUAUUUUAUCAACCGAUUUUUAUAAAUGUAAAUAAACUACCUUAGGGAUAACAGCAUAAUUAUAAAAUUUAGUUUGUGACCUCGAUGUUGGACUAGGAAUCUAAAAGGCUAGCCGCUUUUUAGCAAAGUUCUGUUCGAACUAUACUUUCC
rnacentral:rRNA from 1 species